CCCCACAUUGCCAAAAGACAAAAAGGGCCCAAAACACACUAGUUCAGCCCAUCAUCAUUCCAAUAACAAAGCAGCCGAUCAAUAGAAAUAACACGCUGAUUAGACAUGAAAAAUCAAUUACCUCCCGCGAGCUGAGACGCAAAGAGAGGUGCGAGAUCGGACAGAGGAGACCCUAAACAAGCCUAGGUGAGAACUUUCAAGAGGGAAAAGAUCAAAGAAAGCGAAUGAGGACGAUAGUUUUGAAUUGUUCUGCAAAAGAGAGGCCAAACAUGAGAGAGAGAGAGAGAGAGAGAGAGAGAGAGAGAGAGAGAGAGAGAGAGAACAAUUUGGACCAGAGUAUAGAUUGACCAAUUCUGUUCAUAUCUACAUAUAAACCAUUUUGUUAAACAGAUAAAUGUGGCUCUUGCUAAUUUUUCAUUAUGAUAUUAUCAAAGACGUUCUUCCUCCUGUAAAUGCUACAUUCUCUCCCACCCUAAAUGUGCAUUAAUCAUAUUGUCAAAUCUAUGGUAGGUCAGUAACUUUCUAUGCUAUAUAUACGUAAAUGUCAUGUAUUUGUUGUAAGCAAUUAAAUUAAAACCACACUUUGUGAUGAGUUUCUCUAAUUCAAUCUGCUAAGACACAGUCCACCUAAAAU
rnacentral:lncRNA from 1 species